CCUACGGGUGGCAGCAGUGAGGAAUAUUGGUCAAUGGACGAGAGUCUGAACCAGCAAAGUAGCGUGAAGGAUGACUGCCCUAUGGGUUGUAAACUUCUUUUAUAAAGGAAUAAAACGAGGCACGUGUGCCUUUUUGCAUGUACUUUAUGAAUAAGGAUCGGCUAACUCCGUGCGAGCAGCCGCGGUAAUACGGGGGAUGCAAGCGUUCUCCGGAUCUGUUGGGUGUAAAGGGUGCGUAGGCUGUGGGGUAAGUCAGCGGUGAAAUGCCCCCGCUCAACGGGGUGAAGUGCAAUUGAUACUGCCUUGCUGGAAUGCGAAUGCCGUGGGAGGAAUGUGUGGUGUAGCGGUGAAAUGCAUAGAUAUCACACAGAACACCGAUUGCGAAGGCAUCUCACGAAUCCGCGAUUGACGCUGAUGCACGAAAGCGUGGGUAUCAAACAGGAUUAGAUACCCUAGUAGUC
rnacentral:rRNA from 1 species